AUUGAACGCUGGCGGCAUGCUUUACACAUGCAAGUCGAACGGUAACAGGGUGCUUGCACCGCUGACGAGUGGCGAACGGGUGAGUAAUGCGUCGGAACGUGCCGAGUAGUGGGGGAUAACGCAGCGAAAGUUGUGCUAAUACCGCAUACGUACUGAGGUAGAAAGUGGGGGACCUUCGGGCCUCACGCUAUUCGAGCGGCCGACGUCUGAUUAGCUAGUAGGUGAGGUAAAGGCUCACCUAGGCGACGAUCAGUAGCGGGUCUGAGAGGGUGAUCCGCCACACUGGGACUGAGACACGGCCCAGACUCCUACGGGAGGCAGCAGUGGGGAAUUUUGGACAAUGGGCGAAAGCCUGAUCCAGCCAUGCCGCGUGUCUGAAGAAGGCCUUAGGGUUGUAAAGCACCUUCAAUUGGAAGGAAAACCUCGAAGCUAAUACCUUCGAGUUUGACAUUACCUUUAGAAGAAGCACCGGCUAACUCCGUGCCAGCAGCCGCGGUAA
rnacentral:rRNA from 1 species